rnacentral:rRNA from 1 species
UACGAGGGGGGCAACUGUUGUUCGGAAUCACUGGGCGUAAAGGGCGCGUAGGCGGCUUUAUAAGUCGGGGGUGAAAGCCUGUGGCUCAACCACAGAAUUGCCUUCGAUACUGUAGAGCUUGAGACCGGAAGAGGUAAGUGGAACUGCGAGUGUAGAGGUGAAAUUCGUAGAUAUUCGCAAGAACACCAGUGGCGAAGGCGGCUUACUGGUCCGGUUCUGACGCUGAGGCGCGAAAGCGUGGGGAGCAAACAGG